GUGGGGAAUCUUGCGCAAUGGGCGAAAGCCUGACGCAGCCAUGCCGCGUGGAUGAUGAAGGUCUUAGGAUUGUAAAAUCCUUUCACCGGUGAAGAUAAUGACUGUAGACGGAGAAGAAGCCCCGGCUAACUUCGUGCCAGCAGCCGCGGUAAUACGAAGGGGGCUAGCGUUGCUCGGAAUUACUGGGCGUAAAGGGAGCGUAGGCGGACAUUUAAGUCAGGGGUGAAAUCCCGAGGCUCAACCUCGGAACUGCCUUUGAUACUGGGUGUCUUGAGUGUGAGAGAGGUGAGUGGAACUCCGAGUGUAGAGGUGAAAUUCGUAGAUAUUCGGAAGAACACCAGUGGCGAAGGCGACUCACUGGCUCAUUACUGACGCUGAGGCUCGAAAGCGUGGGGAGCAAACAGGAUUAGAAACCCCAGUAGUCC
rnacentral:rRNA from 1 species